rnacentral:tRNA from 1 species
UCGGCGGCCUCGGCCAACUCGGUCGGCUCGGUCGGCUCCGGCUCGACCAGCGCCUGAGCCAGCUCCGCGGCGAGCAGGUCGCACUGCCACUGCCGGGC